rnacentral:rRNA from 1 species
UGGGGAAUAUUGCACAAUGGGCGCAAGCCUGAUGCAGCCAUGCCGCGUGUGUGAAGAAGGCCUUCGGGUUGUAAAGCACUUUCAGCGAGGAGGAAGGUGGUGAACUUAAUACGUUCAUCAAUUGACGUUACUCGCAGAAGAAGCACCGGCUAACUCCGUGCCAGCAGCCGCGGUAAUACGGAGGGUGCAAGCGUUAAUCGGAAUUACUGGGCGUAAAGCGCACGCAGGCGGUUUGUUAAGUCAGAUGUGAAAUCCCCGGGCUCAACCUGGGAACUGCAUUUGAAACUGGCAAGCUAGAGUCUCGUAGAGGGGGGUAGAAUUCCAGGUGUAGCGGUGAAAUGCGUAGAGAUCUGGAGGAAUACCGGUGGCGAAGGCGGCCCCCUGGACGAAGACUGACGCUCAGGUGCGAAAGCGUGGGGCAGCAAACAGGAUUAGAUACCCUGGUAGUCCACGCUGUAAACGAUGUCGAUUUUGGAGGUUGUGCCCUUGAGGCGUGGCUUCCGGAGCUAACGCGUUAAAUCGACCGCCUGGGGAGUACGGCCGCAAGGUUAAAACUCAAAUGAAUUG